rnacentral:rRNA from 1 species
CUACCCUUGACAUGUAUGGAAUCCUGCUGAGAGGUGGGAGUGCCCGAAAGGGAGCCAUAACACAGGUGCUGCAUGGCUGUCGUCAGCUCGUGUCGUGAGAUGUUGGGUUAAGUCCCGCAACGAGCGCAACCCUUGUCCCUAGUUGCUACGCAAGAGCACUCUAGGGAGACUGCCGGUGACAAACCGGAGGAAGGUGGGGAUGACGUCAAGUCCUCAUGGCCCUUAUGGGUAGGGCUUCACACGUCAUACAAUGGUCGGAACAGAGGGUUGCCAAGCCGCGAGGUGGAGCCAAUCCCAGAAAACCGAUCGUAGUCCGGAUCGCACUCUGCAACUCGAGUGCGUGAAGCUGGAAUCGCUAGUAAUCGCGGAUCAGCAUGCCGCGGUGAAUACGUUCCC